rnacentral:rRNA from 1 species
AUUGAACGCUGGCGGCGUGCUUAACACAUGCAAGUCGAUCGGUAACAGGUGUAGCAAUACAUGCUGACGAGAGGCGGACGGGUGAGUAAUGCUUGGGAAUCUGCCUAUUAGUGGGGGACAACCCGGGGAAACUCGGGCUAAUACCGCAUACGCUCUACGGAGGAAAGCCGGGGACCGCAAGGCCUGGCGCUAAUAGAUGAGCCCAAGUCGGAUUAGCUAGUUGGUAGGGUAACGGCCUACCAAGGCGACAAUCCGUAGCUGGUCUGAGAGGACGACCAGCCACACCGGAACUGAGACACGGUCCGGACUCCUACGGGAGGCAGCAGUGGGGAAUAUUGGACAAUGGGGGCAACCCUGAUCCAGCGACGCCGCGUGGGUGAA